rnacentral:rRNA from 1 species
GACGAACGCUGGCGGCGUGCCUAAUACAUGCCAGUAGAACGCUGAAGGAGGAGCUUGCUUCUCUGUAUGAGUUGCGAACGGGUGAGUAACGCGUAGGUAACCUGCCUGGUAGCGGGGGAUAACUAUUGGAAACGAUAGCUAAUACCGCAUAAUAGUAGAUGUUGCAUGACAUUUGCUUAAAAGGUGCAAUUGCAUCACUACCAGAUGGACCUGCGUUGUAUUAGCUAGUUGGUGGGGUAACGGCUCACCAAGGCGACGAUACAUAGCCGACCUGAGAGGGUGAUCGGCCACACUGGGACUGAGACACGGCCCAGACUCCUACGGGAGGCAGCAGUAGGGAAUCUUCGGCAAUGGACGGAAGUCUGACCGAGCAACGCCGCGUGAGUGAAGAAGGUUUUCGGAUCGUAAAGCUCUGUUGUAAGAGAAGAACGAGUGUGAGAGUGGAAAGUUCACACUGUGACGGUAUCUUACCAGAAAGGGACGGCUAACUACGUG